CCUACGGGCAGCAGCAGUGAGGAAUAUUGGUCAAUGGCCGUAAGGCUGAACCAGCCAAGUCGCGUGAAGGAAGAAGGAUCUAUGGUUUGUAAACUUCUUUUAUAGGGGAAUAAAGGUAUCCACGUGUGGAUAUUUGCAUGUACCCUAUGAAUAAGCAUCGGCUAACUCCGUGCCAGCAGCCGCGGUAAUACGGAGGAUGCGAGCGUUAUCCGGAUUUAUUGGGUUUAAAGGGUGCGUAGGUUGUUUUUUAAGUUAGCGGUGAAAGUUUGUGGCUCAACCAUAAAAUUGCCGUUGAAACUGGAAGACUGGAGUGUGUUUGCGGUAGGCGGAAUGCGUGGGGUAGCGGUGAAAUGCAUAGAGAUCACGCAGAACUCCGAUUGCGAAGGCAGCUUACCAAGCCAUAACUGACACUGAAGCACGAAAGCGUGGGGAUCAAACAGGAUUAGAUACCCCAGUAGUC
rnacentral:rRNA from 1 species